rnacentral:rRNA from 1 species
CAGUAGCCGCGGGAAUACGUAGGGUGCAAGCGUUAAUCGGAAUUACUGGGCGUAAAGCGUGCGCAGGCGGUUUUGUAAGACAGAGGUGAAAUCCCCGGGCUCAACCUGGGAACUGCCUUUGUGACUGCAAGGCUAGAGUACGGCAGAGGGGGAUGGAAUUCCGCGUGUAGCAGUGAAAUGCGUAGAUAUGCGGAGGAACACCGAUGGCGAAGGCAAUCCCCUGGGCCUGUACUGACGCUCAUGCACGAAAGCGUGGGGAGCAAACAGGAUUAGAUACCCGUGUAGUCCCUGUCUCUUAUAC